CCCGAGCUUUGACCCUGGACUUCAGAGGCUCCAGGAUUGUGAGAAAGAAAUUUCUGCUGUUGGCAAGCCACCAGUCUGUGGUGUUUUGUUACAGCAGCCUGACUGGGCCAAAACUGUGGCUGGUGAUGAUGGCAGGUAUGCGUCCUGCAACAGUAGAAGGCGAGAGAGGCAGGUAUACCGAGGUCUUGGAGGAACACAGCCAGCUGUCAACUUCAGUCCUCACUCUGUGGCUGCCAACACAGUCUUUGAGGUCAGUAGAAAGAAUCUAACACACACUCCGCGGCUUUUCUUCCCAGAAACCUCCUUCUUUCAGCCCUGUCCCCCUCAUGCCCAGGCAUUCCUGUGGCCUCCCUCUCCCUGACUUUUGUUGAGAGAUCGUGGUCCUUUGGGAUCAACCCCGAUGAGGCCUGGAUUGCCCUGACCAGUGCUAGAUUUAGGGAAUCUUUUAUCAUACCUCACUUUGGGGUCAGCUUGGGAUUCAAAGAACCAAAAGGUAGCAGAGGGAUUUGAGAAAUGCUUAAGGAGUGAAACUGUCAUGACUUGGUGAUGAUGAAAGUUGGGGAGGCACCAGUGGGAAGAAGACUUUGGCUUGGUCUUUGUCUUGGCUAACCACUGCCCCUGGGUGAAUUCUGGUGACAUUGAAGGCUUUACCUGCCCAUGGUCAUAGCCGAAGGCCACAGGGCCAAGGUCUUCCUUUGAUGCCCCUCCACACCCUCUGGUUCCCUCAGAGAGAAAGUUUCUUCCUCUGGCUUCCCAUGAGAACUGGGCCCUUUCUCCGGCCCCAACCAGGCAGCGGGAGCUGAUUCCCACAUUCCAGCCUUAGGCUAAGGUCCUUCUGAUAUUGCAAAGAUAUCCCAGAACUGUGGGAUCCCGAGCUGCAAAUACCCCAGAUGGCUGAAGCGCUCUUAACUGUACUACAUUUAACAAAUUCACUGGACUGCCCCCCUGCAGACCACACCACCACCCUGUGCUCGCCCUGGCCUUCCAGUGGCCGGCUGCUUGGCAGUCAGCCUGUGCCCUUCUGCUCCCACUGGAAUGUGCAGCUCAUCAUGAAGGGUUGAAUAAGACAUGGGUCUCAUUCAAAAGACCCCUCCAAAAAGAUACAGUGAGCUCCUAACCCCUGGAACCUAUAAAUGGGACCGUAUUUGGAAAUAGGGUCUUUACAGAUGCAAACAAGUUAAGUAGGGUCCUACUGGAUUAGAGCAGACCUUAAUCCAAUAUAUAUGACUGGUGUCCUUAUAAGAAGAGGGGAAGACACACACAGACAGCCGCACACAAGGAGAAGGCCAUGUGAGGGUGGAGAUGGAGACCGGGGUGAUGUUUUUACAGCCAAGAAACAGAAAGAAUUGUGGUAGACGGACGUGGAACAGAUUGCAGCCUCCGGAAGGAACCAACCCAGCACUCCAGGGAACCUCUUCACUUGGACUUCUGGCAUCUAGAACAAAUAUCUGUUGCUCUAAGCCUCCUGGUUAGUGGUACCUGUUAGGGCAGCCCCAGGAAGCUAAUGCACCAACCCAGAGUCCUCUGUGUUUUGUUCCCAAACCUGCUUAUACCAGUGGCCUUUGUUAUUGUAAUGAGGUAAUUGAGUUAAACAUUACAUAAGCCCAUCGCUCUAAGUAUGAAAAGAGAGCUGCAGCUCUGAAAACUGCAUCAACUGCUUUGGAAAGAAUAGAUAAAGGUUGGUGCCUUUGUCCACGGCUCUGCUGGGUGUGGUCUUCUGUCUUUGAUCUGAGGCCCUUACGGCAGUGGUCCCCAGGUCUGCCCUCACAAAACUGACAUCUGCCUGUGGACACUUUGGCUCCUGGAUUCGUUUCCUUUGGCUGACAUAACCCAUCACCACACAGCGCUCCUGCAGAGGACACGUGCUGAGCAUUUCCAGAAGAGAGGAGAAUCAGCAGCAAGAACCAUGGGUGUGCAGCAUAGCCAGUAAGGGGGCACGAAUGGUUUGAUUUUGGAGAUUAAAGGAAAGGGCAACUCUGGGACAAGUGUGAUAUACAAGUUCCAGGUUCAAAUCUGUUUGCAAGUUCCUUCCAUGACGGGACUGCCGCUGUACUUCUUUCACACACACCUUGCAGCCAGCCCUCACCUGUGCAGC
rnacentral:lncRNA from 1 species